AGCUAGAUCCUGUCCUGGGGCAGUUGUUUACUUCAUGGCAGGUAUUUUGGAGAGGGAACACAGGAACGGGGAGGUGGACACAGGACUUGAAAAAGAGUGGAAUGAGAGGCCAGCAAGGAAACUCAAUAGAGCAGCAGUGUGAAGCUUCCUACUUGAAUGGAUGGCACGCAUCAUCAUCACCAAGGAUUUACUGAGCAUGCAACGUGUGGAGGAUUUCCCCUUCUGCCAGACAAAUGGCCGGCCACCUUCGUGCAGUCAGACCCACUCCGAAGAUGUCUCUCAUUGCCGGGCACGAAGGAACAUUCCGACACAUCCCUACAUGGAGUAACAAGACUUCGCUACCUGCCCAGCUGCUGUUUAGAAAAACACGAUCGGAUCUGACCAAAACCCCGACUGGCGUUCAUUAAACAGAUGGGAAGAGUUCUCCCUCUUGUCAUUACCAACUCCAUUUUGAACUCAUUGCGUCGGCGCUGAUCUUCUGACACCAACCCAGCAGGGACAAACACAGUUACUUGUAAAGCAGAGCCCGCUCUGGACCAAAGUGGAUACGAUAAUCAAUCCGGUUGCCACAAAGGCAGAACACCGUGUGAAGAGAGAUUCUGGAGCUGUAGCCAUGAUGGCUCAAACUCCAAAUAGCUGGCAAUACUGGAAAUGCAGCAACAGCUCCCACCACGUACCUCUCUCGCUUCCCCAGAUGCUCUCCCACUGCACCCUCCCUUCAGAAUGGCCCAACCCUGGAAAUGAUCGCUGAUGCCUGGCCUAGGAGAACAAUGUCUUCCCAAAUAAGAAGAGUCUACCUCAAGAGUGAGCUCCAGUUCCAGCAAUUAUAUAUUUCAUGAUCCACUCAGCAGAUGAUCAUUUAGACUAUUUGGAUCGUGUUCAAGUUUCUAAAUAGGGAAAUGGGAUACAACACUUUCCUGAGAGUUUAAUGUACAGCUAAAUCUGUUUUUCCACAUGUACCGAGCCACCCGGUGAAAGAUCAUAAGGCGCUUUCUAAGGAUUUGUGCUCUUCGUGUGCAGAAUUCUAUUUCUGAGACGCAGCGCAAAUAUUAUAUUCGCCUUCAAAAGCCAAAGAAUAUGAAGAUUAACAUUGAGCUCUGCCCAGGUUUCAUCUCCUCUGCCCUACCCUUGAGUAGCCAGCGAUGUAAAACCCACAUGAGGAUAUCACAUAGCAUGGAACUGUGAUGAUCGCAGCAGCUGCUCUGUCUAUGAAUAUGAAAAGGCAGUGCUGCUUUUCCAUUUCUGCUCUAAUUGUUAUAGCCUCAUGUGAACCCUAGUGCCUCAGCUCUCCCAGCCAAUGGCAGUGAAAGGAUUGUUUGAAUUAUUUUUCUGCUCACAUAGUUGCAUGUCUUUUCAAGUCUUGAACGUUUCUGUCACAGACAUUCCACACUGUCCCUGGGUUUAUAUUGUUAAAAGCUCUAAUAUUUAACUUAAAUUUCCCAUUCUGCAUUUCAAGCUCACUGGAUUUUCAUUCUCGCUUGGUUUAUUAAUGCAGUCAAAUCAGUACCAGUACUUUUUUUUUUUAAGAAUACAUUCUCCAGGUCCCUAGAUAUUUAUCAAAUCCAUUCCCCUGUGGUUUUCCCUUCCCUUUUCCAAGCCUGUUUGGUUUUUGAUUUAUUACUUUCUAAUACCAUCACAACUGAUAACUAAUGUUCUGGGUGUGACCAUCUGCUAUCUUUAAGAGCUAUUGCACAUCAUGCAAAUGUUAAAUCAGGAUUUAUUUUAAUAGUUCUUUUUAAAAAAUUCAGCCAGCCAAUUAGUCGCCUUACUGAAAAAAAAAGUUGGGAAUCAGGUGAAUAUAGAUAACCCUUGUAUAAUUUAUGUUUAUUUUUUAAUUUGCUCUGUUCUGCCAUUCUUUUGGAGAGAAUUUUUUUUUCAUAUUUGCCAACUUAUAUGUUCAUAGGUUAAAAUCUUACAAAAGUACAAGGAAUGAUUACAUUUUAAGAAAGGUGAUAAACUACUGAAAAAAGCUGCAAAACCAAAUCCAACAGAGUGAUUAUCAGAACUUCAUAAAAAGGGAAAAGAGAAUUUGUUUUACUCAGCUGGCUCCAAUCCUGUAAAGGAUACUGUUGCUCAGGUAUUUCAAUCAAUAGUAUUUAUGGAGCACCUACUACGUACACUUGCAGUAAAAUCUAAGUACUUGGGAGAGGACAAUAGAGUAAGAAAAUGUAAUCCAGGCCACCAAGGAUGAAACAUCUAGUGGGGGAGAUAGAAGAAGAAAUAGAAGGGUAAAGGAGUAAGUUGCUAUAUAUAGAAGUUCUCAGAGUGUGUAAUUGGCACAGGACUGCUGAGCUGGUAGAAGAGAGAUGUGUGUCCUGUAGAGAAGAAAAUUUCAUAGGGGAAGGCCUCCUGAAGGAGAUGAGAUUUCAGAAGAGCUUUGAAGAUGGCGAGAACAUUAUUUGUGGAAAAUAAAAUUGUUUCUAAUAUUCUGA